rnacentral:rRNA from 1 species
UACGUAGGGCGCAAGCGUUAUCCGGAAUUACUGGGCGUAAAGCGUGCGCAGGCGGUUUUGUAAGUCAGAUGUGAAAUCCCCGGGCUUAACCUGGGAACUGCGUUUGAAACUACAAGGCUAGAGUAUGGCAGAGGGGGGUGGAAUUCCACGUGUAGCAGUGAAAUGCGUAGAGAUGUGGAGGAACACCGAUGGCGAAGGCAGCCCCCUGGGUUAACACUGACGCUCAGGCACGAAAGCGUGGGGAGCAAACAGG